UACGUAGGGUGCAAGCGUUGUCCGGAAUUAUUGGGCGUAAAGAGCUCGUAGGCGGUCUGUCGCGUCGGAUGUGAAAAUCCAGGGCUCAACCCUGGACCUGCAUUCGAUACGGGCAGACUAGAGUUCGGUAGGGGAGACUGGAAUUCCUGGUGUAGCGGUGAAAUGCGCAGAUAUCAGGAGGAACACCGGUGGCGAAGGCGGUUCUCUGGGCAUGUCCUGACGCUGAGGAGCGAAAGUGUGGGAGCGAACAGG
rnacentral:rRNA from 1 species